CACAGAGGGUGAGAAUCCCGUGCGAUGAGAUGUCCCAGACCUAUGUAAAGUUCCUUCGAAGAGUCGAGUUGUUUGGGAAUGCAGCUCUAAGUGGGUGGUAAAUUCCAUCUAAAGCUAAAUAUUGGCGAGAGACCGAUAGCGAACAAGUACAGUGAUGGAAAGAUGAAAAGAACUUUGAAAAGAGAGUGAAAAAGUACGUGAAAUUGUUGAAAGGGAAGGGCUUGAGAUCAGACUUGGUAUUUUGUAUGUUACUCUCUCGGGGGUGGCCUCUACAGUUUACCGGGCCAGCAUCAGUUUGAGCGGUAGGAUAAGUGCAAAGAAAUGUGGCACUGCUUCGGUAGUGUGUUAUAGUCUUUGUCGAUACUGCCAGCUUAGACUGAGGACUGCGGCUUCGGCCUAGGAUGUUGGCAUAAUGAUCUUAAGUCGCCCGUCUUGAAACACGGACCAAGGAGUCUAACGUCUAUGCGAGUGUUUGGGUGUAAAACCCGUACGCGUAAUGAAAGUGAACGUAGGUAGGACCUCCUUUAGGAGUGCACUAUCGACCGAUCCUGAUGUCUUCGGAUGGAUUUGAGUAAGAGCAUAGCUGUUGGGACCCGAAAGAUGGUGAACUAUGCCUGAAUAGGGUGAAGCCAGAGGAAACUCUGGUGGAGGCUCGUAGCGGUUCUGACGUGCAAAUCGAUCGUCGAAUUUGGGUAUAGGGGCGAAAG
rnacentral:rRNA from 1 species